GACGAACGCUGGCGGCGUGCCUAAUACAUGCAAGUAGAACGCUGAAGAGAGGAGCUUGCUCUUCUUGGAUGAGUUGCGAACGGGUGAGUAACGCGUAGGUAACCUGCCUUGUAGCGGGGGAUAACUAUUGGAAACGAUAGCUAAUACCGCAUAACAAUGGAUGACACAUGUCAUUUAUUUGAAAGGGGCAAUUGCUCCACUACAAGAUGGACCUGCGUUGUAUUAGCUAGUAGGCGAGGUAAUGGCUCACCUAGGCGACGAUACAUAGCCGACCUGAGAGGGUGAUCGGCCACACUGGGACUGAGACACGGCCCAGACUCCUACGGGAGGCAGCAGUAGGGAAUCUUCGGCAAUGGGGGCAACCCUGACCGAGCAACGCCGCGUGAGUGAAGAAGGUUUUCGGAUCGUAAAGCUCUGUUGUAAGUCAAGAACGGGUGUGAGAGUGGAAAGUUCACACUGUGACGAUAGCUUACCAGAAAGGGACGGCUAACUACGUG
rnacentral:rRNA from 1 species